AUUGAACGCUGGCGGAAUGCUUUACACAUGCAAGUCGAACGGCAGCACGGGAGCAAUCCUGGUGGCGAGUAGCGAACGGGUGAGUAAUAUAUCGGAACGUGCCUAGUAGUGGGGAAUAACUACUCGAAAGAGUGGCUAAUACCGCAUGAGAUCUACGGAUGAAAGCAGGGGAUCGCAAGACCUUGUGCUACUAGAGCGGCCGAUGGCAGAUUAGGUAGUUGGUGGGAUAAAAGCUUACCAAGCCGACGAUCUGUAGCUGGUCUGAGAGGACGAUCAGCCACACUGGGACUGAGACACGGCCCAGACUCCUACGGGAGGCAGCAGUGGGGAAUUUUGGACAAUGGGCGCAAGCCUGAUCCAGCAAUGCCGCGUGCAGGAUGAAGGCCUUCGGGUUGUAAACUGCUUUUGUACGGAACGAAAAGCCCUGGGUUAAUACCCUGGGGUCAUGACGGUACCGUAAGAAUAAGCACCGGCUAACUACGUGCCAGCAGCCGCGGUAACAC
rnacentral:rRNA from 1 species